AUUGAACGCUGGCGGCAUGCCUUACACAUGCAAGUCGAACGGCAGCGCGGGCUUCGGCCUGGCGGCGAGUGGCGGACGGGUGAGUAAUGCAUCGGAACGUGCCCAGGAGUGGGGGAUAACGUAGCGAAAGUUACGCUAAUACCGCAUACGUACUGAGGUAGAAAGCGGGGGAUCGAAAGACCUCGCGCUCAUGGAGCGGCCGAUGUCGGAUUAGCUAGUUGGUGGGGUAAAAGCUCACCAAGGCGACGAUCCGUAGCUGGUCUGAGAGGACGACCAGCCACACUGGGACUGAGACACGGCCCAGACUCCUACGGGAGGCAGCAGUGGGGAAUCUUGGACAAUGGGGGAAACCCUGAUCCAGCAAUGCCGCGUGUGGGAUGAAGGCCCUCGGGUUGUAAACCACUUUUGGCAGGAAAGAAAUCGCCUGUGCUAAUACCAUGGGCGGAUGACGGUACCUGCAGAAUAAGCACCGGCUAACUACGUGCCAGCAGCCGCGGUAAUACGUAGGGUGCGAGCGUUAAUCGGAAUUACUGGGCGUAAAGCGUGCGCAGGCGGUUUUGUAAGACAGAUGUGAAAUCCCCGGGCUUAACCUGGGAACUGCAUUUGUGACUGCAAGACUAGAGUGUGUCAGAGGGAGGUGGAAUUCCGCGUGUAGCAGUGAAAUGCGUAGAGAUGCGGAAGAACACCGAUGGCGAAGGCAGCCU
rnacentral:rRNA from 1 species